rfam:Brachypodium distachyon strain Bd21 chromosome 1, whole genome shotgun sequence.
AAGCUACUCCCUCCGAUUCAUAUUACUUGUCUCAAAAAUGCGCAAAUAUGGAUGUAUCUAUGUUUAAAAAGCGUCUAGAUAUAUGUAAUAUUUCGACAAGUAAUAUGAAUCGGAGGGAGUAAAAC